AGACAGACAGCGGGGCUAGGAGAUGCCCAGGAUGAAGCCCGGAGACCUGCUCUCUGAUUCCUCUUGGGUCUAGCUCAUCACAGCCUGCUUCCCCACUCCCACUGCAACGUGACAGCAACAGCACAUCUCACUUUCCAACAUGCAGACAGCCCCCUGUGUUAACAGCACCGUCUCUGAAAUCAGUGGAGCUGCAUUUGACCCUACCUCCGUCAGGCCGUAGCUGCAUUGAAGAUGUGUCUAAUUUUCUACUAUUCCUCACAAUAAACAUUCUCAUGACUCGUCUUAUUGUGCGCAUCUGCAAAAGGCUGUCUAAAGGAGUGGUUCUCAAAGUGUGGUCGCCUGCAGCAGCAGCAUCACCUGGGAACAUGUUGGAAAUGCAAAUCCACUCCUUCCUCGGACCUACUGAACCAGAAACUCUAGGAGUGGGGUCUAGCAAUACAUGCUUUAACAAGCCCUCCGGGUGAUGCUGAAUCAAGCUAAAGUUUGAGAACUGCUGCUUGAGGGUGACCUAAAUGGACACAUCUCACAUCACUAAACAAUGCUGAAUUACUCUCCAAAGGGGUUGCCCCAACUAUAUUCCCACCAGCAGUGUUUGAGAGUUACCAAUUUCUCAUACAAAACCAGCACGAUGUAAUUACAACCCUCUGACAGUUUCCGCCAUCUGUGGGUUAGGCAUCUUGUCAAAUGUUUAUUGGCCAAAUGGAUUCCCGUUCUUAUGCACUUUCAGUUUUCUAUUCAGUAGUUUUUAACCAUUUUUUAAUAAUUUGUAGACAUUAUUUGUGUUUUCUAAAAACUCAUACUUUGUUUUAUAAUCAAUAUGUUCCCAGUCUUUUAACUUUGUUUAUAUUGAGUUUGCUGUUGUUGUUGUUUUCAUUUAACAUCUUUAAGUUUUAUGUAGUAAAAUGUACAAAUCUUUUCCUGUAUGGCUUGUGCUUUUGCGCCUUGACUAAAAUGUAUUCUAAAAAAUGCUUGGAUUUUGAUUUUUAUACUUAGUCUUUAAUGUAACUGGACUUGAUCUUUGUGUAUGCUAUGAAGUAGACAUUUAAAUUUAGGGGCUUUUUUCAUAUUGAUAAUAUCCUUCUCCAUCAAUUGGUAAUGCCACCUCUCAUAAAUCCAGAUAUUCAAGAUAUUUAAGAUCCUGUGUGUUGACCAAGCUUUUGUUCUUAAUA
rnacentral:lncRNA from 1 species